GGGCCUCUAGCUCAGUCGGUAGAGCAUCGGACUUUUAAUCCGCGGGUCGUGGGUUCGAGCCCCACGGGGCCCACCUCAA
rnacentral:tRNA from 1 species